UUAUACCAGGGUCAAAAGGUCAUGCGUUUCAUGCUUGCAUGAAAAAGCAUGACUUUGGGACCCUAUAUCAUGUUGAUAACUUGUGAAUAAGAUGUAAAUAACUGUGGGAUAA
rnacentral:sRNA from 1 species